UCGGGAAUUUUGGGCAAUGGGCGAAAGCCUGACCCAGCAACGCCGCGUGAGGGAUGAAGUAUUUCGGUAUGUAAACCUCGAAAGAAUGGGAAGAAUAAAUGACGGUACCAUUUAUAAGCUCCGGCUAACUACGUGCCAGCAGCCGCGGUAAUACGUAGGGAGCAAGCGUUGUUCGGAUUUACUGGGCGUAAGGGCGCGUAGGCGGCGCGGUAAGUCACUUGUGAAAUCUCUGAGCUUAACUCAGAACGGCCAAGUGAUACUGCUGUGCUAGAGUGAGGAAGAGGCAACCGGAAUUCUUGGUGUAGCGGUGAAAUGGGUAGAUAUCAAGAGGAACACCUGAGGCGAAGGCGGGUUGGUGGGCCGACACUGACGCUGAUGCGCGAAAGCCAGGGGAGC
rnacentral:rRNA from 1 species